rnacentral:pre_miRNA from 2 species
GCUUAUGGAUGAGCAAAGAAAGUAGUCUCUUAAGAUAGAAUCUACUCCUGGUGAAGAUGCUGUGAA